rnacentral:rRNA from 1 species
UACGGGGGGGGCAAGCGUUGUUCGGAAUUACUGGGCGUAAAGGGCGCGUAGGCGGUUCGCUAAGUUGAAUGUGAAAACUCUGGGCUUAACCCAGAGCCUGCAUCCAAAACUGGCGAACUGGAGUACUGGAGGGGAAAGCGGAAUUCCUGGUGCAGCGGUGAAAUGCGUAGAUAUCAGGAGGAACACCGGUGGCGAAGGCGGCUUUCUGGACAGUAACUGACGCUGAGGCGCGAAAGCCGGGGGAGCAAACAGG